rnacentral:tRNA from 1 species
AAGGUCUUAGCUUAAUUAAAGCAUCUGGGUUGCAUUCAGAUAAUGUAGAAUAAAGUCCUGCAGGUCUUA